CUCUAUCACUCCAUCUAAUAAAUGAAAGUGUUUGUUUCAGAUUAUUACAUUGUCAGCAUAUUUCGAAAAUGAAAGAAUAAAAUUUUAUCAUUUGUCUCUGCAUUUUCUCAUAAAACAGCAUGAAUCACUUUCCAUAGCUCACAUCCACUAGACUUUUGCAACUAAUCACAUCCAUAUUAGAUAAAAUCUUUUGUGGUAAAAUACGACAGCAAGCUGAAAACUGAAAAAUCUGAAAAACACAGGUCUUCAUCCUAAAAUCCCUUUAUAAACAAUGAGAAAAACAAAUAAAAAACAAAAAAAAAAAAAAAAAAAAACAACAACUAAGAACUAUGUAAUGGUUCAGUAAAUCCACUCAAGAUAUUCAAAAUCCACAAAUGCAAUCCCAACUUGAACAUUGAGUAGUCAUUCUUUCAGCCCCAACUGGUAGUAUGGAUCCUUGGAUUCCUGCAGAUAUGAAUCAAGAAACGACGCACCUCAUGGUAAGUCAUUUAAAGACAACAGUAAACAUAUUUCAAUGUAAAGAAAAAGAAGGGAAUUUAUCACCUUAUAAUGCUUAAAUUAACAAUUUAAGUUAUACUGAUCGAAACAACAAAAUUAUUAUCAAUACCUACAAAAUAAUCUAAAUUCAACAAUCCUAUCAGAAUACUUAUGAACCUUUGGUUGAUUGAAUGGCCAACUGUAUCCAGAAAUAAGAAACUAACCCCACCUCUAUGCAUGAUCACUACAGAAGCAAUCUAUAGCAAAGAAGUUGAGUUAUCUGAUUGACGAGAAUUCCUCCUAACUCUUCUGGGACAAAAUAACUACGAACAUCAUUCACCAUUUUCAAUUCAUUUAUUCGUCUGUCACAAAAAGAUUGAAGAUCAAAUUUUUGCAACAUAUGUAACUAUCACUUUAUCAACUAUUUACAUUAUUCUCUGACGUGGAAGCAAUAAAUCUCAAUUAAAAUCUUGAUGCAUAUCUGUUUAUGAGGAAAAAAAGAGAUAGAGAUAUGAAGAAAAAGUAGCUUUUUAUGCAAUGUAAAUUUUAAGACAAACCAAACUGGAAAACUCGAUAAUAGAUCCCGAAAAUGGAACAUAAUUAUAAAAAUUCUUGUAUACAAUACUACAGUUAACGUAGAAGAUGUAUUAUUCUGCUUCUCUUGGCAGCAAGAUUGCUUCUCUUAGAAGAUGUAACAUUGACUAUUGGCAGCAAGAUUGCUUCUGUUAAUUUGCUCAAAGUUUCAAUCAAUCAGUUAGACGUAUCCGGCUGUUAAUUAAUGAAAAAUAGUGGUCGUCAUAUAAGAUCAUUCAAGCAUAUGAGAUUUCUACAACACUACAAAAGCUUAAAUCUUUUCAAAUGGGCGUUCCAAAUUUUUUUUUUUAAACAUUUCAAUCCUUAAAUGUCAUAGCAAAAGCACAAACACAUAUUUUUUUACAAAUUUAAAUCAAAAAGAAAAAAAAAAUUGAUCAACAAUUGUUAAUUUUUCCAAGAUAUCUUUCUCUCAGACAUUCUAUCAAACAUUUGGUUAGCAAAAUAAGCAACAGAUUAGACAAUAACUUAUGGACCUUUCAAAAAUGAGAUUGCAUCCGUCUUCUCCAAUUC
rnacentral:lncRNA from 1 species